CUGGGGGUUCAGUCUUAGCAGGACCCAGGGCUUCCCCUUCCACUGGUGCUCUUACUAGGAUAUUCAUUGCUACCUAUGAGGUCAGAGUCCAGGGUCAGUCCAUGUAUAGUCUUUAGGUAGUACUUAGUCCCUGGAAGCUCUGGUUGCUUGGCAUUGUUGUUCAUAAGGGGUCUCGAGCCCCUUCAAGCUCUUCCAGUCCUUUCUCUGAUUCCUUCAACGGGGUCCUGUUCUCAGUUCAGUGGUUUGCUGCUGGCAUUCGCCUCUGUAUUUGCUGUAUUCUGGCUGUGUCUCUCAGGAGCGAUCUACAUCCGGCUCCUGUCGGCCUGCACUUCUUUGCUUCAUCCAUCUUGUCUAAUUGGAUGGCUGUAUAUGUAUGGGCCACAUGUGGGGCAGGCUCUGAAUGGGUGUUCCUUCUGUCUCUGUUUUAAUCUUUUCUCAGCUCUUUUCUAAUGAGUCCAAGUCAUCUGGAGACACUGGUACAAGAAAGGAGAUUGUACCAGUGACCUCUUGCUGUAUAACAAACCGUCCAAAAUUUAAUGGCCUAAAAUAGCAAUGACUGUUCUGUGGGUCAGCCGCACUAGCUCUGCUUUUUUUUUUUUUUUUUUUUUUUUUUGUAAGAGCUGUUUCUGCUGGUCUUGCCUGAGGUCAUUCUGACAGUAGAGAUCUGGCAGCUCAACUUAGAACUGAAACUUUCUACUGAGCUCUCUCUUACAUUUCAUAGAACAGUAUUGGCUUCUGCUGGGUCAUGUGUCUCUAGUAGGUUAGUGUGGGUCUCUUUAUGUGAUUGACAGAUGUUAAAAGAAUAAGAGCAGACACUUGCUUGGCAUUAAAGUAAGCUAAAGGGCCAGUCCCAGUCAGGUUGUAAGAAAAUCCACUCUAGGGUUUAAUAAAAGUCUACAAAGCAUCAGCCUAUUUUACUCUAACACAGUAGAAGAAGGGGAAGAAGAAAAUAUGAGAAAGUAACAUGAGUACCCACCACGGACCACAGCAGGCAUUUCCCCAUGCAAUAGUUAGCACUCGUUGAGGAAUAGCCUAUAAUAUGCACUCAAGGUGAUCAACAGUCUUUUGAAAAAUGGCUGCUCCCUAUCUUUUCAAACUUCAUUUAUACAGGUUGGAUAUUGCCUUCUCAACAUACUUGGUUCAAAUGUAGCCUGUGUUUACAUUUUUUUUCUUGUUUGGAGAAAAACCAAGAGUGUCUGGUUAAUUAUAGUCGGGGUUUGUGGCAGUGGCACUAUAGUGUUCUCCCUCCUCCAUCAGUUUGAGUUCUACAUUGUAGCUUGUUCACAUUCUUAGUCAAGGUUAUGUCUUUGAGGUGGUUUUAUGCUCAUAUUGACUCCCUACUGUCUGAGCUGUGUUUUGUAAGUUGUGCUUUCAAUCUCCCUUUCUUGAAAGGUACCUUGGGAGUGGGAGGUCGCCUGCGAGCCUCUGCUGACAAGGUAUAUCUCACAGCAAUUAUGGAACUUUCUGAUAUAUAGUGGAUGAUUCUUUUUAUGCACCGUGCUGCCUAUCAACUUCAUCGUAAAGUAAAUGAGACAGGUUUAUCUGAGGCAUUUUGAUAUCCUUUUCUACUAGCUUGUAAACAUAAGCUUCAUUUUCUAUUCUAAGUGUACCUACAGCAGAGACUAUGAGUCACUGUGCUUCCUACAGUAUUAAUCAUGUCUUACACUAUAUCCUUUGUACAAGUUAGGCAUUUUAGAGAAAGCACAUAGGCACAGAAUUCUGAGGAGCUCUGGCCUGAGGAAGAAGUUAAUUGAAAUUAAAGACUCAGAAGAAAAUUGAUUUUCGAUCAUAAAAUAAAUUAAAUAUACCACUUAAUUCAUAAAGACAGUGCUUAUUUGAACCGUUGAGGUUAAUCUGAUUCUAUCAAGAGCCAUUUAUUAUAGACUUGAUGUAUGAUGUGUACAUAUGAAUAGAGAAAGUCCCUGUGCUGGCUAUUCCUACAUCAUAAAGGAAAUGGGUUCUUAGGUAAAAGUGGUUCCUCCAUGAUGCACUGACAGCUAUAUUGUAUGGUCAUCCAGUUUUCAGCGUUUGAGGAACAUUCUUGCUGGGUUUUGCAGAGGCGGUACUGACUUACAGUGCUAUCAAUUGUGUAUGAGGAUUCUUUUCCCUCGCAUUCCUGCUGACAUUUGUUAUUUUUUGUCUCCUUGAUUAUAGCUAUUCGAACUCAGUUGGGAUAGAAUUUCAAUGGAGUUUUGAUUUGUAUUUUAUUGGUGUGUAAAAAUGCUGAGCUAUUUUUCAUGCAUUUAUUGGCUAUUAUAUUUCUCGCUCUGAAAAGUAUCUUUUUGGUUCUUGCCCUUUUGUGGAUUAUGUUACUUGCUGUUUAAAUAGUCAAUCUAUAGAUAUAGAUGAAUAUAGAUGAUAGAUGGAUAGGUGGAUAGAUACAUAGAUAUGUAGAUAGAUAAAAAAAUCUAGUAAUUUUUACAUUGAUAUUGUAUAUUGCUAUUUUGCUGAGUUGAUUACUUCUAAAAUAUUUUGGAGAACUCUUUAGGAGUUUCUAAGAAUAGGAUCAUAUUACCUGCCCGUAGGAGUAAUCUGUCUUCUUUCCUUAUUUGUGGACUUUCUAUUUAUUUAUUUAUUUAUUUAUUUAUUUAUUUAUUUAUUUAUACUUAUUGCCCUGGCUAUAAUUUCAUGUGCUAUAUUGAAUAAGAGCACUAAGACUAGACAUUCUUGUCUCAUUCCUGAUUUUUGAGGCUCUGUUUUUAGUUUUUCCCAUUCAGUGUGAUCAUAGUUGUGGGUUUAGCAUAUAUAGAUUCUAUUAUAGUCAAAUAGGUUUCUAUAUCUUUUCUUUUUUACCUACCACUGUAAUAUUUGAUACUAAGUUUUAUUCUUUGAGAGCUUCAUAGAGUCUACAAUGAAAUGUGAUCAUAUCUAUCUCCCAUUUGCUCCCCCCAAGUCCCUCUGGGCCUCCCUGUAAUGACCACCUCUAUUCUUUUAAUAUUCCACUGAGUCAAAUUAGUGCUGCUCAUAUGUGAACAAUUGGGGUUAUGAGGUCAUCCAAUGGAACAUAGGUGACACCCUCAAGAACAAUGACUCUCCCUCCUCUGGUAGCUAUCAAUUGCCAAUAGCUCUUCAGUAAAGGGUGAGGCCUUUUAAGUUCCUCCCUCAUCUAUGCUGGAAGUUUGGAUUCCUUAUUCUUGUACAGGUCUUAUGCCAGUAACCAUAGCUCCUGUGAAUUCAUGAGUGCCAUAUUCUUGUCACAUCCAGAAAACAGCACUUCUAGCAACCCUCUCCAUCCUCCAGUUCUUAAAUUCCUCUGCCUUUUCUUUUGGAAUGUUCCCUGAACUUGGGAGAAUGAUGUCACUCACUGAUACUAUUUUGGAGCCUAUCUAUUCCUUCUGUUCCUUAGUGUCUCAUGAACCUGAGAGACACGAAGUUUAAUGUAUCACAAAAUGGAGUAUUUCUUCUAUGUCAGGCAGUUGCAAAUCCCUCACCAGUCCCUCCUAGAGUUGGACAGCAGUUGCUCCUGCAGUGGGGAGAGACAUGUACCUGCAUGUCAAAGGAGCCCCUUUCUCCGGUCAUGGGAGAUAAUGCCAACAAAUAAUGCAAUGGAGAUAUGCUUGAAAUCGUGUCUCCUGUUUCUGCUGUCCCAAUGAGAAGAUGGACAGCAUUUAGAACGUUUUCUGAAGAACAGAAGAAAGGCUCAAUCCUCUUCUACACAUUACAAGCAACAGCCUUCCUCUACCAGUCAUAACAACAAAGUCUUCUGGAGUGGUAUGAGUUAUUGUUCUAUGUUUAGCAAAAACAAAUAAAGCUUUAUUUAAAAAAUAAAAAAAA